rnacentral:rRNA from 1 species
CCCUUAGACGUUCUGGGCCGCACGCGCGCUACACUGACCAGUGCAACAAGCAUCCGUCCUUGGCCGACAGGCCCGGGCAAUCUUUGAACGCUGGUCGUGAUGGGGAUAGACUUUUGCAAUUUUUGGUCUUCAACGAGGAAUUCCUAGUAAACGCAAGUCAUCAACUUGCAUUGAUUACGUCCCUGCCCUUUGUACACACCGCCCGUCGCACCUACCGAUUGAAUGGUCCGGUGAAGCCUCCGGAUUGGCGCGCACCUCGGUGCCGCCGACAAGUUGGCUAAACCUUACCAUUUAGAGGAAGGUGAAGUCGUAACA